AUUUCUCUAUUCCCAUCUGUUCCUCUCCACCUUCACCUUCUGUUUCAGCUUCUCCUUCUUCCUAUCCAGUUUCCAGUCCUCCUUUCAACCCUGACAUUUCCCCUCCUGCUUUGCCUUCUUCCACAUCACCUACUGUUCCAAGGAAAUCUAGAAGACAACACAAUCCUCCUUCUUAUCUUAAGGAUUAUGUUUGUCAUCUUCCUGCUUUCUCUGGGUCUUCUUCUUCUCCUCUGGAGACUGAACCCCUUUAUUACUCUCAAGCUACAUCACUUCCAGUAUGGCAGGAUGCCAUGAGAAAGGAGUUUGAUGCUUUGGAUACCAACUGUACCUGGGAUGUUGUUCCCCUUCCUCCUGGUAAGAAACCCAUAGG
rnacentral:lncRNA from 1 species